ensembl:lncRNA
CUACAGGCCCAUACCUUGCUUUUUAAUAGUUACAAACUGAAAAACACAUGGGUAAAAAAGCAAAGAUUUAUUAGCAUUGGACAAUGAUCAUCCACCAUGAAGAUUGUAACUGUAAUUGCAGAGUCCUAGUGGAUUUAAUCUUUGCCAGAUGAAUAGAAACACUGCUCCAAUCAGGCUCCACAACCACCACAACAACUCUUUAGUCCUCGAGGUUGACCGAAGAAGAGCCUUCAUAGGAGUUUGUGUUUCACUUCCUCUUAUGCUGCCCUAUUUAUCUCCAUCAUCAUCGCAUAUCAGAUGUUAGGGCAUGCAUGGUGGCAGAGAAAAACAAAAAGCCCAUAAAACCUGUCCAGACUUAUCUAUCUAGCUCUCUGGCUGUAACACAAAUAAGACGCAUAGAGAGGUGAUUAUUGCCUGAGAUUAUAAUGUAAAUUGAACAGCUACGGAUAGAAAAGAGCAGAUGCUCUGAGCUUUCCUCCCAAGACCAAGACACUACUACUACUACUAUUCCUGAAACCGAUUUACUGUAACAGUUUACUACUAUUCCACUUGUACACAUUACCAAGAAAAGAGACAGCACUGCUCUACUCUGUCCAGUGUCCACGGCUGCCAUCAUCAUGUCCAAGCUCAUCUGUGUGGCUCUCCUACUGGUCUUUCUGGUCUCCAUUUGGUGCCACAACACAGUCUCUUUUACCAAAUGGUCUGUGAGGGACGUGCUCCGUAAGUGUCGGUGCAAAGUUCUUCCCAAUGGGAGAGAGAUCUGCCUCAAGCCACUCUUUCCCAAAACCCCUGAGGAGACAAAGCAACUGAUUAAAUGCUUCUGCAGGAAAUCUAACUUGUAUAGUGAGUAUAGUGUGUGUGUAUGUGUGUGUGUGUGUGUGUGUGUGUGUGUGUGUGUGUGUGUGUGUGUGUGUGUGUGUGUGUGUGUGUGUGUGUGUGUGUGUGUGUGUGUGUGUGUGCAGUUGUUUUUGCUUUCUAUAACUUUGUCUGCCUGUCUUUCUGUCUUUGUAGAACACAGUGCAAAGCUGAACUUAGAGACAAAGCGGGACUUGGAGAAAUGUUCAUUUAUCUGGUCCAACCCCUUCUGAGGAUGAGAGGGCAAGGGGGUGAACAAAUGAUUUUAAAUCAUUGUUACACCAGCAUAAUCAGUCUUUUAAACAUGUCGAUCAAAUAAAUAAAUGAUUUUUCUAUAUUAUCAAUUCACAUGUUGUGUUUAUAUUCAUUUUUGUGUAUGUGUGUUGCGUUUUAGUCAUAGUGUGAAAACAUAAUCACAACUUAUUCAAUCAUGUUUUGCAUGCAGAGCCCCUAUACCAUACAGAUGAGUGCUUACAGUAGGUUUCACAGUGUCGGGUUGUCACACUCUAGAGCCCUUUUAUACCUGCCGUUAACAUGCGUCCCUUCGUCCUGAACUUGUCUGUUUAAACUUAUGAGAUGCGUAUUUUAAUAGUCUACACCUGUCUGAAAAAAUUGGGCACAAUAAGAAUGUGGACAAGAUCAACUAACUAAAAACAAACUAGGUUUACCUUUUUGUCUGUGGAUUACUCGUCAGAGUAGAGAAGAAAUACACUAUUUUGUAUGACUCCACGUCAAAAUUCAGGUAAAAUAAUGACCCAAUCUCCAAGGAUAUGUACAUUCAUGUUUAUUGUGUGUUUUGACCUGCCCCCAAAUUAAUAUAGUUGGUUCACAGUUGGUUCUGAUAUUUUAACCUGCAUGUCAGAUUACAGACUCACACCAUUGGGCUUUGGCACUAGAGUUUACAUCUCUUUCUCUCACUCACUCAAUCACCCUCAAAUCAUUGUUGCAUGAACAGGCCUUCAUGGUCAAAUUGCUGCGAAGAAAGCACCACUAAAGGACACAAAUACUAAGAAGAGAUGUGCUUGGGCCAAGAAAAACGAGCAAUGGACAUUAGAAAGGUGGAAAUCUGUCCUUUGGUCAGAUUAAAUUUGAGAUAUUUGGUUCCAACCGAUGUGUCUUUGUGAGACGCAGAUUAGGUGAACAGAUGAUCUCUGCAUUGGUCGUUCCGACCGUGAAGCAUGGAGGAGUGAUGGUGUGAGGGUGCUUUGCUGGUGACACUGUCAGUGAUUUAUUUAGAAUUCAAGGCACACUUAAUCAGCAUGGUUACCACAGCAUUCUGCAGCGAAACUCCAUCCCAUCUGGUUUGCGCUUAGUGGGACUAUCAUUUGUUUUUCAACAGGACAAUAUCCCAACACACCUCCAGGCUGUGUAAGGGCUAUUUUACCAGGAAGGAGAGUGAUGGAGUGCUGCAUCAACUGUUGGAAAAGCAUUUCUCAUGAAGCUGGUUGAGAGAAUGCCAAGAGUGUGCAAAGCUGUCAUCAAGGCAAAGGGUGGCUACUUUGAAGAAUCUCAAAUAUAAGAUAUAUUUUUAUUUGUUUAACACUUUUUUGGUAACUACAUGAUUCCAUA